UACCUUGUGCCUCGGUUGGCCGCAGC
rnacentral:sRNA from 1 species